AGACAACAGAUAUUGGAAGGCAUGUAAAUAAAUUGCGAAAGCAUUCAUCAAAUGAAGUAAGAAGACUUGUUAAACUACUCAUCAGGAGAUGGAAAGAUAUUGUUGAUGAAUGGGUGAGAUUAAAUACACUAGUGGAAGACACAGAUGAUUUUAAAGAUGGAGCGAAUAAUUCAAUUGGUUCAUCAUCUUAUA